UGGGGAAUAUUGGACAAUGGGCGAAAGCCUGAUCCAGCCAUGCCGCGUGUGUGAAGAAGGCCUUUUGGUUGUAAAGCACUUUAAGCGAGGAGGAGGCUACUUGGAUUAAUACUCUAGGAUAGUGGACGUUACUCGCAGAAUAAGCACCGGCUAACUCUGUGCCAGCAGCCGCGGUAAUACAGAGGGUGCGAGCGUUAAUCGGAUUUACUGGGCGUAAAGCGUGCGUAGGCGGCUACUUAAGUCGGAUGUGAAAUCCCUGAGCUUAACUUAGGAAUUGCAUUCGAUACUGGGAAGCUAGAGUAUGGGAGAGGAUGGUAGAAUUCCAGGUGUAGCGGUGAAAUGCGUAGAGAUCUGGAGAAAUACCGAUGGCGAAGGCAGCCAUCUGGCCUAAUACUGACGCUGAGGUACGAGAGCAUGGGGAGCAAACAGG
rnacentral:rRNA from 1 species